rnacentral:lncRNA from 1 species
UGCGGCUACGCUGGAAUUCUUAACGGUUUCAUGUCUGAACUUGUGCUAAAUGAAGCCCUGGGCCCUCUGAGCAGAAGGGAUGUGUGGAUGAGUGUGAGCCCAUCCCCAUCAGGCCUCCCAAGGCCCCAGCACAGGGUUCCGGGUGGAGCUCAGCCAGCUGGUGAGCGUGGCCAACACGUGCUGCCCUGCCUGAGCACGGUGGGGCAGCGGGCUCCUAAGAAACACAGAGGAGCAGCCCUGGGCAUCCUUGCCGGCUCUGUCACCUACCUGUACUGCACAAGCACCGACGCUGAGGAUGACAUGGAAGGAGAAGGAAAGACGGUGGCCUUCCUCCCUCCUGGUAGGCUGAAGUAGAGAGGGUUGGUACAAUGCGCCUGCACCAGGAAGUGAAAUUCAAUCAGCAUGGGCCACGUGAUAGAUCGCCCUCCCCGCGGCUGAUAAGGAGGCUCUCUGAGGUCAGACGGGCCCUUGGGCUCCCGGGCAGGAGCACCCGGCCUCCCAGCUCCAGAAGCUGCGCCUCCUCCAGCUCGCCUGCCCCCACGCUGCCCAGUGACUCUCAGGAGGAGAGGAGCUGAUGUUCCUGCACCCAUGGUGAGUAUGGUUGGUGGAGAUACUGAUCUGGGGGCCUGUAUGGGAAUGAGGUGGCCCUGGUCACAGCACAGAAUACCAGAGCAUGACACUGUCUACCACCCCAGGGGGGCUUCCCAAGCAGAGCUGAGUGAAUGGCACCUGGUGCCACUUGCUCUCAUGUGUCACUUGUCACCUUUGGGCUCACGCCUCAGCAUACCCCCCAGAAUGGCCCAGCCUCCACUCACAAGUCAUCCUUCCUGAGCAUUGUGGGGUCAAAACCUGGAUGUCCUGGGGCGCCCCCAAAGGUGUGUCCUGCCCUGGCAGGGUGAGGAAAGGUGGGUGCGCUCAUGGUGGAGGGGAGAGCGGGGUGAGCCAUCACGUCCCUGCUGCACGUGGUGCUGUGGCUCAGAAGACCGGGCCCCAGCACUGGCAGUUGCAGGGCCCCGCAGCCCACAAGUGCUGUAGUGUGAAGAUGUACUAGUGCUGUAGUGUGAGGACGCACAACUGUUCCAUGUUUUCUAUUUCACUCGAGUUUGGUUUUCUGCUUCACCCCACACCCCAACCUGCUCCUGGCUGGUCAGACCUGCCCUCCUCCAGGAGCGGGGAGCCAAGUCCUCUGGCUGUUUGUCCUGCUCUUUCAGAGCCCACCCUUGCCCUGUGGCCCUGGGUGCAGACAGCAGCUGACUGGCGAGGGCCCCUGCCCCCCAUGGCUCCUCAAGGCACACCCACACCACUAGCAUAGCCGCAGAGGAUGUUGGACCCACCAUGCGGUUUCUGUCAGUCCUCAGAGUGACUCUGAGAGAAGGAUGCUUUCAUUCCCGUUUCACAGAUGAGGAAAUCAAGACUCGGAAUGUCCUGGUCCCUUUCCACAAGGCCUCGCCUUAUCCGCUCCCACAAAGGGCUUACCUCUUCAGGAGGAUCUGGCCCCAUGGUCAGAGAAGUGAGUGAAUAUCAGCUGUGGGGCACCCAGAGCAGUUGCCAUCUUCUGCUCUGUCUAGCCUGGGAGUCCUGGAAGGAGACUGCAGCCUGAGUGCCUCCCGAGCCAGCUCCUCUCCAGGACAUCACCUUGGCCCCUGGGUGUCCCAACAGACAGUCAGCACACAAAGGCAGGUGACAUGCGGACGUCCCUUUACCUGGCCCCUGUGUGGGAGGGGAGGUGAGGGGCAUUUAUUUGACAUUUACCCGGGGUCUGCCUUGGCCCGCCGCACAGCUGCCCUGUUCAGAGGCGGGGCCCCAGUACACUCCAGGGUGAAUGGCUGCUGAGUCUCGCCCUCUGCUCUGUACUGGACCAUUGAGCCCAGAUGGCACUGGCCAUGACAACCUUGGCCCAGGCACUUAGAGACACGACUCUUCCAGCCACAGGGAUGGCAACAAAGAGGCAAGACCUCCCUGGAGCUCACGGAGAGGCCUGGUCUUUCCACCUCACAGCUCUGUCCUCCUGCAGAGGCCCCUCUUCCCACUCCUGUCCCCUCCUCAUGCUGCUUCUCACACUGGAACAAUCUUGUCCAUUAGUUGUCAUAGCAACUGAGGCAGGGCGAAGUCAUCCUCUAGAAGGGGCCCUGUGCAAAUUAUGGCAUUACACCAACUUAUUGCCAAUCUUUUUAAUUAAAACAUUUUGCUUUCAACUCGGCUAAUGGCAGAGAUCAGUAAACAGGGGGAGAUUGAAUUACCGAUAUUGAAGCUCCCCCAGCUCUUAAAAGGCUUAAUUACUGGUGGGACCACAGAGAGGCAAGGAGGGGCUGCCAGCGAGCAGGUGGGCCUGACCCACCAGGGCCGCGUGAAGGUGAUCAAAUGGAGCUCCGGCAUUAAAAAAUUUUAAACUCUUGAAGGACAGAAUGAGCUACUAGAAUUGUGGCUACAGUUCUGUUUCCAGGAACUAUGACGUCAUGUUGCUGGCUGCUGAAUUUCUGUUUAAUUAAAUUGCCUAUUUGACACCUGGAGGCAGAACUGGGUGUUCAUGGUGUGGCUGACUGAUAAGCCAGGACUCCACUUGCCCCAGAGACCCAGCCUCUUACCCAGGAGGGGAGAAGUAGGGGGAAUGCUGCCC